rnacentral:misc_RNA from 1 species
UCUCCGUAGGUGAACCUGCGGAGGGAUCAUUACACAAUAUAAACCGCUCUUACCUCUUUCGAGGUUUCCGCCUUCCGUAAUUAUUCACCCCUGUCUUUUGCGUACUUCUUGUUUCCUUGGUGUGUUCGCCCACCACCGGGCGAACCAUAAACCUUUUGCACCUGCAAUCAGCGGCAGUAAAAAAAUUAAUAAUUACAACUUUUAACAACGGAUCUCUUGGUUCUG